UACGGCCACAUCGUUGAAAGAUCGGUUCCCGUUCGAUCACUGAAGUUAAGCAACGUCGAGCUUGUUCAGUGCUUCGAUAGGUAACCGCUUCGGAAUAGC